rnacentral:rRNA from 1 species
AUUGAACGCUGGCGGCAGGCCUAACACAUGCAAGUCGAACGAACUCUUCGGAGUUAGUGGCGGACGGGUGAGUAACACGUGGGAACGUGCCUUUAGGUUCGGAAUAACUCAGGGAAACUUGUGCUAAUACCGAAUGUGCCCUUCGGGGGAAAGAUUUAUCGCCUUUAGAGCGGCCCGCGUCUGAUUAGCUAGUUGGUGAGGUAACGGCUCACCAAGGCGACGAUCAGUAGCUGGUCUGAGAGGAUGACCAGCCACACUGGGACUGAGACACGGCCCAGACUCCUACAGGAGGCAGCAGUGGGGAAUCUUGCGCAAUGGGCGAAAGCCUGACGCAGCCAUGCCGCGUGAAUGAUGAAGGUCUUAGGAUUGUAAAAUUCUUUCACCGGGGACGAUAAUGACGGUACCCGGAGAAGAAGCCCCGGCUAACUUCGUGCCAGCAGCCGCUGUAAAAC